rnacentral:rRNA from 1 species
GUGCCAGCAGCCGCGGUAAUACGUAGGAGGCAAGCGUUAUCCGGAUUUACUGGGCGUAAAGCGCGUGUAGGCGGCAGGGUAAGUCCACUGUGAAAUCUCCUGGCUUAACUGGGAGAGGUCAGUGGAUACUAUUCUGCUUGAGGGCAGCAGAGGGAGGUGGAAUUCCCGGUGUAGUGGUGAAAUGCGUAGAUAUCGGGAGGAACACCAGUGGCGAGAGCGGCCUCCUGGGCUGUUCCUGACGCUGAGGCGCGAAAGCGUGGGGAGCGAACAGGAUUAGAUACGCUGGUAGUCCACGCUGUAAACGAUGGACACUGGGUAUGGGGGGUAUCGACCCCCUCCGUGCCGAAGCUAACGCGUUAAGUGUCCCGCCUGGGGACUACGGCCGCAAGGCUAAAACUUAAAGGAAUUGACGGGG